rnacentral:rRNA from 1 species
GGGGGAGCGAAACNNGGAUUAANAUUACCCNUGGAUNAGUCACANGGCNGUUAAACGUUGGGGAACUAGAUGUGGGGGCCNUUUCCACGGUUUUCCCGUGUCAGCAGNCUAAACNCAUUAANUUCCCCCNCCCUGGGGAGUACGGCCGCAAGGCUAAAUCUCAAAGGAAUUGACGGGGGCCCGCACAAGCGGCGGAGCAUGCGGAUUAAUUCGAUGCAACGCGAAGAACCUUACCAAGGCUUGACAUAUACCGGAAACGUCCAGAGAUGGUCGCCCCGCAAGGUCGGUAUACAGGUGGUGCAUGGUUGUCGUCAGCUCGUGUCGUGAGAUGUUGGGUUAAGUCCCGCAACGAGCGCAACCCUCGUUCUAUGUUGCCAGCACGUUAUGGUGGGAACUCAUAGGAGACUGCCGGGGUCAACUCGGAGGAAGGUGGGGAUGACGUCAAAUCAUCAUGCCCCUUAUGUCUUGGGCUUCACGCAUGCUACAAUGGCCGGUACAAAGGGCUGCGAUACCGUAAGGUGGAGCGAAUCCCAAAAAGCCGGUCUCAGUUCGGAUUGAGGUCUGCAACUCGACCUCAUGAAGUCGGAGUCGCUAGUAAUCGCAGAUCAGCAACGCUGCGGUGAAUACGUUCCCGGGCCUUGUACACACCGCCCGUCAAGUCAUGAAAGUCGGUAACACCCGAAGCCAGUGGCCUAACCCUUGUGGAUGGAGCGUUGUAUGGNUCG